UUCACAGAGACAAGAAACAUGGUUCAACUAAAGAAAAGCAACUUCUAAAGAAACAAAUGACUGUAAACCCUACUAAGGACACAGAAAUGCCCAGUACCGCCCUGCCUUUAACAUCUGGAUUCUGCAAGGUGACCUGACCGGAGGAGAUGCCCGCCCAAGAAAGUCACAAGGUAAAGAAAGUGAGGCACUUUAGGAAGCAGGAGAAACAGGACUUGAAUGAAGGCAACUGAGCUCCAAAACCUGAACAAUUAAAUUCUG